CUUUAGUUCACAGCCUUUGGCAUAAAUUCCCUUCCUCACUAACUUAAGCAUCGAAAGGACAACGAUGACUCACCUUGACGCCUUCAUUUAAGGUACUGAAAAAUCUUAUUCAUGUUCAUUCUUGAUCAUCAAGCUCGAAAAUCAACAAGUACGAAUUUUCGGCAGUAUCACUGGUGCCAUCUGUAGGGAGUGCCACAGAAAGCCAAUGGAAGAAAACAUAGGCACGAAGAGGAUGAAAGACGUGGCCACUGGUUUUUCAAAUGCACAAAGCCACAGUCAGCUUUAGGGCGGCAAAAAAAAAAAAAAAAAAAAUCGCGAAACCGCAAACCAAACCAAAAUCGUUGAGUUAAAAUCGUUGGUUUGGGUCCACGUGGACCAGUGAUUUUUUUCCCCUCUAAAUCGAACCAAACCAUUUCAAAAUUUUUUGAUUUAGAUUUAGAUUUUCUCUCUCAAUUAGGCAGCCACGUUUUCUUCUAUUUUCUCACAAACCAUAAAUAGCUUCUACAAACAAAGGGUGGCUAUAUAUAGUUUAGGGUAUAUAAUCAAUUGGGCCAAAACAUAUGGGAAGUGGACCAAGAUCAUAGGGCCAUUCAAUAAGUAAAUAUAUGGGCCGUGAGCAAUAUUAAUGUGGAAAUUACACCCUUACAGGUAUUUAAAGAUCAUAAUUUAAAAAUCAGGUUGAAGGUCUGUUUGUGCAAAAAUCAGGUGGUAAAUUUAUAUUUUAAUAUUAAUAAUAAAAUGUCGUGGAAUAUAAAUAACAUCCCACCCCCUCAAACACACCCACAACAAGAUUUUUUUAGGCUUCCCUCGAAUGUCAAAACUAUCCUCUCUCUCUCUCUCUCCCCUUCCCUCCCCCAAUUUCCACCACACACUAGUUGUUUUACUGAUUUGCCGAUGGUUUAAUUAUAGAAACGUUUGGCUUCUCACUUUUCUCUAGCUUUUCGUCGGAGUUAGGUUCUGACCAUGUUGUAUGGGCUGUUGUAGUGCGAUGCUGCCGGAGUUAGGUCGUGAUCUGGUGCUGAAUGGCGGGGAAAUUGGGGAACGAUCUAUUGAAAGUAUGAAUGGUGAUGUUCUGGUGUAGAAUGACGAGGAAUUUGGGGAAGAUCUGCUACAUCUAUUUAGUGCUAAAUCUGCUGCUUUUACAGUUUCUUUGUCAUCUACUUUUUGGGUGGUUUGGGACAAAUAGUUGUUUAGAUUUGAAAUCGGAUCUAUGUUUUGGUUUUGAAUGUGGUGGAUCUGUGGUGGCUGUUGACGAUCAGUUUCGGUGUUUGGUGUCUGUG
rnacentral:lncRNA from 1 species